UACGGAGGGGGCUAGCGUUGUUCGGAAUUACUGGGCGUAAAGCGCACGUAGGCGGCUUUGCAAGUUAGAGGUGAAAGCCCGGGGCUCAACCCCGGAAUUGCCUUUAAAACUGCAUCGCUAGAAUUGUGGAGAGGUAAGUGGAAUUCCGAGUGUAGAGGUGAAAUUCGUAGAUAUUCGGAAGAACACCAGUGGCGAAGGCGGCCCACUGGAUCGGUACUGACGCUGAGGUGCGAAAGCGUGUGGAGCAAACAGG
rnacentral:rRNA from 1 species